rnacentral:tRNA from 1 species
GACAGUUUAGCCUAGUGGUGAAGCACUCGUCCGGAGUCGUGAGGAAUGUGGGUUUGAGUCCCAUGGCUGUUU